GCAGGGGAGCAGGGAGCCUGAUGUGGGGCUCGAUCCCAGAACGCUGGGAUCAGGGCCUGAGCUGAAGGAGCUGAAGGCAGAUGUUUAACGACUGAGCUACCCAGGCGCCCCACAGCAGGCCUCUUUAAAAUGCGAAGUGAGGAUGGGCAAGUGGGAGUGGCGUGGUCCAACGACUGGGCAGGAGGCAGGGAGGAGGGGCUCAGGGGGAGAACGGCCCUGACUGGUCUAGAGGAAGGGUUUGGUGGGCGCUGCUCCCUGAUGCAGCCCAGAAGCCCGCAGCCAGGCGCACUGGCGCGGGGGCGGGGGGCACAGACAGCGCCUUGGCUCAGGGCCAGCUUCCUCGGGGCCCGGCUCUGCCUAGAAUGGCAGGCCGGCAGGACUCUGGCUGGUGCCCACCUGUCUUCUGGUGCCCGUGAGGGCGUCUCAGCCCCGCUCCUCCACAGCUGUGCCCUCUGGGGGCCCUGGGAGCUGAGAAACCCCUCUCCUGUGACCUUUCAAGCAGCGGAACAUCAGCCAGAAGGGGUCUUAGUAACCCUCUCGCCUGAGUCCUUACCUUCCACUUAAGGAAACUGAGGCCAACUUAAUUUUUAAUCCCUCUCAGAUGUGUUUACAUUUUAUUAGAGAUUUUUACAGUUGUGCUUAAUGCAAAAGAACACAUCGCUGAUGCCGAGUCUUGUGACACCCACAGGGAGAUCAUUUUCAGUCUUUUAGGUGCAUAGAGGAGGGACAAAGGGGCGGGGAUUCCUGAUUGCCCUACUCUACUAUCUCUGAGCAAAGCUGUCUUCACUCCCCCAAUGUCACCCCUGCAAGUCCCUGAGCAAAUGCCCAGGGGUACGAGCCCGAGGCCCAGGUUAAUUAGGGGCAGCUUAGAUUGAGGCUGUUCAUUUUCUGCUGGUUACCUCACUGAUCCAUAUAGGAAGGAAUGCUAUGCAGUCCUAUUCUCUUUCUAUUUUCCUCCAAUAACUACCCCCUUCCGGCCCCCACUCUGAGUUCCUUGCCUGUGUUAUCCUUGGCCCUAAUUCCCAGCGGCAGCAUUCCUCAGCAGGGUAGUGGCCAGCUGGGUCUGGGCUCCCAGGUUCCUGCUUCCCCCUGCAGACAGGAACAACUCACUCCAUGAGCCUGUAUGGGGCAAGGGCAGCUGAAGGACUGGUAGGAGGAGAGGGAGAGUGGAGAGGCAGAUGGUUGGACCUGGCUGGAUGGGAAGAUGAGGAAACUGAAGCUCAGACUUGAGACUUGAUGACUUGCUCAAGGUUACAAGGCUCCUAAGUGGCCAUGUGGGACUCAGGCAAGCUCUUCCCAGCAUGCACCCUGCAUGGUGGAUGGCACCAGGCACCCUUGGUGACGUGAGAACUUCUGAGAGGCGGUGCGGCGGAAGGGGAAGAGCAUUAGUUCUAGCACUCUCUUGUGCUACCUCGGGAAGCGCUUCACCUCUCUGAGCCUUGGUUUUCUCAUCUGUGAGGUAGGCUUAGGCACACCUGUCAACCUCAUGGGGUGGCCACGUGGCUUAAAUAAGAUGGGGGGAGGGCGGGUGGAAAUCGUGUGCCUCUAUUCCAUCAUGAGUUAUUAUCAUCUUCCAGAGUGCCCCAUGGCAAAUAAGUGCCUGAACUCUUAUCAGCUCAUAUCUCGGGGGCCAGCUGAGCUUCUGAGAGGCACAGGACCGAGAGCAGUGUGAACGGGACACAGGACAGCCCCUUGGGUGCAGGUGGGAGCUACGAACUCUUAGGUCCACCUGUCCUUAGCGUGGCCAGCUGGCUCCUUCUGAAGCUUGCCAGGCGCAGCACCAACAGCCAGACCCCCUGUAAAGCACCGGGGCAGAGGGAGUCUUUGGCUCCUGUGGGAAGGCUGACGGGGCACCGAGGCUUGGGCCUGGCUCCUUUAAGAGGCUGCCUCUUCCUGCCGAUCCAGACAGGGGGAGAGAUGAUGGAUGGUCUGAAGAGGAGGGGAUUGGAGCCACAAGCAGGAAUGGGAUGGAGAACUGACCAGCUGGCAAAAUCUCCAGGAGAUCAAUGGAGACCAUCUGAAUGGAGGGCCUGCACUUUGGAGACCUGGCAGCGAGUGGCUGGGCUCCCCAGAGCCUGUUAUACACUGUCCUGCUCCCAGAGAAGAGAGCAGUUCUGGCUGGAGGCCUAGUGGCCUUUCCCACCCAACCCCCAGUCUAGGAUAACCCAGAAGGCUUCUCUACUGCCCUCCCCACCCCUGCCCAGGCUGUGCUCUGUUCAGGAGCUGAGGCGGUAGGUGUGUUCCUCAUCUGAGAGCGCACACUGGCUCUUCAAGGUGUGCCCCUGGUAAAGCUGAGCAGGUGGGAUGCGAGGCUGUUCUUCAAUCACCGCGUCUGGAUGCCGUCACCUUCAGAAUGUCCAGGCUUGUCGCUGCUGGCCAGUGUGGGCCCCUUUAGGCCACUGAUGUCUUGGGUCUUCAGGGCCUCCUCCUGCCCCCAGAAGGUGGUGCUGCAGGAGGGACAGCCCUGUCACACCAUCACACCUUCUCCGGGAGGUCUGACCUGAGACACCCUGCCCACCAGCUCACACCAUCCCCAGGAAGAGUGAUAGAAUUGGCUCAGUAGGCUGGGGUCCCCUGAUGGGCAAGUUCAGACAUCACCUACAAGGGUGAUCUUCCUAAGUGAAGGGCCGAUCUGAAGGACUCUCUGUUUUUAGGGGUCCUCCCAAGGCUAGGCUCUGCAUUGGCUCCCCUGAAGCAACCCAAGCUAGGCCUGAUCAGAGCUGUUGGAGGUGCCGGGGGUAGGAGACGGUGACCUGGGGUGCGGGACGUUCCUCUGCCUGGGGCCAAAGCAUGUGCUUUGCACACAUAGGAUGCUUGGUAAGGAGGGCCCAUCGCUUGGCUCACUAAUCCCCUUGGCUCUGUGCAGUCUCCUGCUUCAUCCAUAAACAUUCCAGCCUUCACGGUGGGGUCCAAAGCCCAGAGGGCCAGCAUGCCAGCUCUUCUGGGCUCCUGAGGUUUUGGACCUAGUAAUAUGAACUAAAAUGCCAGGGAAUCUCCAGGAGCUUCCGACUGGGCCAUUCCUGGCCCUGGUUGGGAACCACUGCUCUGGAGAGCCAUAAUCUCCUGAACUCACUCCUGGCCCUGGCUACCUAGACAAAGACAAAAUGAGACCUUCCUGGGGGACUAAGCUGGGGAAGAGGAGCGAGCUGGACAGCUGAUACACCUUUCUUGGGAAUCAGGGAGAGCUGAACUGGACUUUAGAUGUGGCCCCGCUGUUGGUUGUGAAAUUUGGGGGCCUGACUCCCUGCUUUGUGCUCAUCUGCUUUGAGGCACUCUGAGCAGGGCAGGAGGGGGCCCCCAAAUAUCUCCCCCAUAUAAUACACCAUUAUAGCUUCACUUCAUUUGCUCAUGAAAGGUUUUAUCAUUUCUAAAGGCCUCCCUUAUAAAAUGCAAAUACCUUUAUAAAGUAGUCAUGCCUUAAGAUCAUUAUUGGCUAACAUCUCAGUUAUUAUCAUUUCAGUGGGACAUAGAUAACAGCCAGAAAUUUGGUCUGGAUAGAGGUAUCUAUGUGCGUAUGCAUGGGCGUGUGCGUGUGUUUGGGUUGAGGGUGGGAGAUAUAGUUUUCCAUUCAUUCAGCAAGUAUUGAUCAAACAUGGGGAAGUGCCAAACAGUUUUCUUGGUCCUGGGGAUCCAGAGUGAACAGAAGAGAUGAAAAUCUGCACUUGUGGGAUUUACAUUCUUUUGGGAGAGGGGGACAAUAAACAAAUAAAAAACAAA